GGAUUAGCCUAGUGGUCAAGGCUUGGGAUUUAGACUCCCAAUCUGUCAGGUUCGAAACCUUUUAGGUGCU